UACAGAGGUCCCGAGCGUUGUUCGGAUUCACUGGGCGUAAAGGGUGCGUAGGCGGUUCUGAAAGUCUGAUGUGAAAUCUCCAGGCCCAACCUGGAAACUGCAUUAGAAACUACAGGGCUAGAGGCUUGGAGGGGGAACUGGAAUUCUCGGUGUAGCAGUGAAAUGCGUAGAUAUCUGGAGGAACACCGGUGGCGAAGGCGGCAUCCUGGACCGGUAUUGACGCUGAGGCGCGAAAGCCAGGGGAGCAAACGGG
rnacentral:rRNA from 1 species